rnacentral:rRNA from 1 species
UACAGGGGGGGCAAGCGUUGUUCGGAAUUACUGGGCGUAAAGGGCUCGUAGGUGGCCAACUAAGUCAGACGUGAAAUCCCUCAGCUUAACUGGGGAACUGCGUCUGAUACUGGAUGGCUCGAGUUUGGGAGAGGGAUGCGGAAUUCCAGGUGUAGCGGUGAAAUGCGUAGAUAUCUGGAGGAGCACCGGUGGCGAAGGCGGCAUCCUGGACCAAUACUGACGCUGAGGAGCGAAAGCCAGGGGAGCAAACGGG